UACGUAGGGUGCAAGCGUUAAUCGGAAUACUGGGCGUAAAGCGUGCGCAGGCGGUGAUGUAAGACAGAUGUGAAAUCCCCGGGCUCAACCUGGGAACUGCAUUUGUGACUGCAUCGCUGGAGUGCGGCAGAGGGGGGGAUGGAAUUCCGCGUGUAGCAGUGAAAUGCGUAGAUAUGCGGAGGAACACCGAUGGCGAAGGCAAUCCCCUGGCCUGCACUGACGCUCAUGCACGAAAGCGUGGGGAGCGAAACAAG
rnacentral:rRNA from 1 species